rnacentral:rRNA from 1 species
UGAGGAAUAUUGGUCAAUGGGCGGAAGCCUGAACCAGCCAAGUCGCGUGAGGGAAUAAGGCCCUACGGGUCGUAAACCUCUUUUGCCGGGGAGCAAGGGCGGGGACGUGUCCCGGCCCGGAGAGUACCCGGAGAAAAAGCAUCGGCUAACUCCGUGCCAGCAGCCGCGGUAAUACGGAGGAUGCGAGCGUUAUCCGGAUUUAUUGGGUUUAAAGGGUGCGUAGGCGGGCUUUUAAGUCAGCGGUAAAAAUUCGGGGCUCAACCCCGUCCGGCCGUUGAAACUGGGGGCCUUGAGUGGGCGAGA